GCUUGAGAUAACUCGGGUGAAGGAACUAGGCAAAAUGGCACCGUAACUUCGGGAGAAGGUGCACCGCUUUUGGUGAUGGGAUUUACUCCCUAAGCUGAGGGCGGUCGAAGAUACCAGGCCCCUGCAACUGUUUAUUAAAAACACAGCACUCUGCAAACACGUAAGUGGACGUAUAGGGUGUGACGCCUGCCCGGUGCCGGAAGGUUAAUUGAUGGGGUUAGCGCAAGCGAAGCUCUUGAUCGAAGCCCCGGUAAACGGCGGCCGUAACAAUAACGGUCCUAAGGUAGCGAAAUUCCUUGUCGGGUAAGUUCCGACCUGCACGAAUGGCGUAAUGAUGGGGGCACUGUCUCCACCCGAGACUCAGUGAAAUUGAAAUCGCGGUUAAGAUGCCGUGUACCCGCGGCUAGACGGAAAGACCCCGUGAACCUUUACUAUAGCUUUGCACUGAACUUUGAACCUAUCUGUGUAGGAUAGGUGGGAGGCUUUGAAGUCGAGACGCUAGUUUCGAUGGAGCCGUCCUUGAAAUACCACCCUGGUAUGUUUGAGGUUCUAACGUCGGCCCCUUAUCGGGGUUACGGACAGUGUAUGGUGGGUAGUUUGACUGGGGCGGUCUCCUCCCAAAGAGUAACGGAGGAGCACGAAGGUGUGCUAAUCAUGGUCGGAAAUCAUGAGGUUAGUGUAAAGGCAAAAGCACGCUUGACUGCGAGACAGACAUGUCGAGCAGGUACGAAAGUAGGUCUUAGUGAUCCGGUGGUUCUGUAUGGAAGGGCCAUCGCUCAACGGAUAAAAGGUACUCCGGGGAUAACAGGCUGAUACCGCCCAAGAGUUCACAUCGACGGCGGUGUUUGGCACCUCGAUGUCGGCUCAUCACAUCCUGGGGCUGAAGCCGGUCCCAAGGGUAUGGCUGUUCGCCAUUUAAAGUGGUACGCGAGCUGGGUUUAGAACGUCGUGAGACAGUUCGGUCCCUAUCUGCCGUGGGCGUUGGAGAUUUGAGAAGAGUUGUUCCUAGUACGAGAGGACCGGAAUGAACGAACCUCUGGUGUUCGGGUUGUCAUGCCAAUGGCAUUGCCCGGUAGCUACGUUCGGACGGGAUAACCGCUGAAAGCAUCUAAGCGGGAAGCCUCCUUCAAGAUGAGAUCUCCCUGGGACUUUAAGUCCCCUAAAGAGCCGUUGAAGACUACGACGUUGAUAGGUUGGGUUGGAAGCGCAGCGAUGCGUUGAGCUAACCAAUACUAAUUGCUCGUGCGGCUUGAUCAA
rnacentral:rRNA from 1 species